UAAUAGCGUAUAUUAAAGUUGUUGCAGUUAAAAAGCUCGUAGUCGGAUGUCGGGCUCGGGGAGAUUGUCGGCCUUUGGUCGGAUAGUUUCUCCGGGCCUUUCUGCCUGGGAACCCUAUUCUACUUAACUGUAGGGUAGUGGGACGCAGGCCGUUUACUUUGAAAAAAUUAGAGUGUUCAAAGCAGGCCUACGCUUGAAUACAUUAGCAUGGAAUAAUGGAAUAGGACUUUGGUCUUAUUUGUUGGUUUAUGGGACCGAAGUAAUGAUUAACAGGGACAGUUGGGGCCGUUUAUAUUUCGUUGUCAGAGGUGAAAUUCUUGGAUUUACGAAAGAUAAACUUCUGCGAAAGCAUUCGGCAAGGAUGUUUUCAUUGAUCAAGAACGAAAAGUUAGGGAGGGUACGUAAGAAGUAGUAGUUAAGUACUAACCGGUACUUACCGGUACGUACGUAGGACCCUAAGGGCCCAAACGGACCAACGGGGAACUAAGGGGGGAUA
rnacentral:rRNA from 1 species